CGACUGUUUAACAAAAACAUUGCUUUUUGUCACAGCACAUAAAAAGUAUAUCCUGCCCAGUGACUUAGUUCAACGGCCGCGGUAUCCUAACCGUGCAAAGGUAGCAUAAUCACUUGCCCAUUAAUUGUGGGCUAGAAUGAAAGGACGAACGAAAUAAAUACUGUCUCAACUGGCAAAUUAAAAAUUACUAUCUAGAUGAAGAAUGAUUAGAUAGAGUCGAAGGACAAGAAGACCCUAUAGAGCUUUAUUCUACAAAUAGACUAAUACUAUUUCUAAAUUCGGUUGGGGCGACCAAGGGUAUUAACUAUCACCCUACUUUAACAUAGAAUAAUUGUUCAACAAAAUGACCCUUAUCCAAGAUCGUAAAAACAAGCUACCUUAGGGAUAACAGGCUAAUCCUGUUAAAGAGUUCUUAUUAAUAACGGGGGUUGGCACCUCGAUGUUGGCUUAGGUAUCUACACGGCGCAAAAGUCGUAUGAGACGGUUUGUUCAACCGAUAAAUCCCUACAUGAGCUGAGUUCAGACCGC
rnacentral:rRNA from 1 species